rfam:Paramecium tetraurelia chromosome undetermined scaffold_90, whole genome shotgun sequence.
GAGAGCUUAGCUCAGUUGGUAGAGCGAGAGACUCCAUAUCUUUCGGUCAUGUGUUCGAUCCACAUAGCUCUUC